rnacentral:snRNA from 1 species
GCGCUUAGUGGGAGGUAACCCACU